GCGCAGCAGUCGAGAAACUUCACACUGUGCGAAAGCACGAUGAGGGAAUCCCAAGUGCUUGCACGUAAGUGUAAGCUGUUUCUCUGUCUAAAACGCAGAGAGAGUAAGGGCUGGGUAAGACGGGUGCCAGCCGCCGCGGUAAUACCUGCAGCUCAAGUGGUGACCGUUAUUAUUGGGCCUAAAACGUCCGUAGCCGGUUUAAUAAAUGCCUGGGUAAAUUGUGUAGCUUAACUAUACGAAUUCCGGGUAGACUGUUAAACUUGAGACCGGGAGAAGUUAGAGGUACUCCUGGGGUAGAGGUGAAAUUCUGUAAUCCUAGGGGACCACCAGUGGCGAAGGCGUCUAACUAGAACGGGUCUGACGGUGAGGGACGAAGCCCUGGGGCGC
rnacentral:rRNA from 1 species